GGAAAAUAGAUCAUGUGCGGCUUUUUUUAAACCGGCACAAUUUUCCUCUAACACAGCACGUUAUCGCACCAUCUCCUCUGGUUCCUUUGUUCUUCCCCUCCCCCUUCUUCACUCACUGUUCAAUACUCUUAACGUGGUGCAUGAAUUGUUCUAGUGGAGGUGUUAUUAAUGUGUUAAGUGAUACCCAUUUACAUAUGUAAUUACAUCCUAUAGCAUAAAUUAGGAUGGCUGCCAGAUUGCAACAAAAGGAGGAACCUCUUCAUUAUCUACAGGAUUUCUAUUUCUUUAAGAUAUCUAUUCUUGAUUUAUGCCAAAAAAAGAUUAGUGGACCUUUAGUCAUACUAUAUCAACAAUAAGCACAAAAGCAUUUAAACUUAAUGUCAACAGACGAAAUAAGGAAAAGUAACUGAAUAGUUUUGUUCACUGCUUGAAAAAAAAAAAAAAAAAAAAAAAAGAGGAAAUAUGACUUAAAAUGUAGUGUAUCUGCCAAAAGAGUGACUUCACUUUUGCAGACUGGGAAAGCAACAAGAUGUGCCAGUGUAAGCAAGUAACACACCCAAAACCACACUUUGGAAAUAUCUUUACGUCACCAAAAGAUGCAUUUAAACACACACACACACACACACACACACACACGCACGCACAUGCAAACAUGCAUGCACGCACACACUUCAAAUUGCAACUCCAGUCACAUCAUUUUGUGCAGGGCUUAUUUGCUGACAUACGAGUAUAAUCGUCAUUCAGUACUAGACACAGCAGUCUCUGAAGAAGAUUCAGGAGGCUCAGGCUCUGCAGAACUCUCAUGCAGGCUGCUCUAUGGAAAUACUCUUUCGAAAAUGCUGCAUGUCAUCCACGCCAGAUAUGCACAACCACAGCUGCCAAAAAACCCCACAAACACUUAACUGUGACAAUGAGAACAUGUUGAUAUGUAAUCAUUCUAUGAAAUAAAAAAAAAUCCUUUAAAGUACACAAUUCACUUAACCAGCAUGACUUAAAAAAAAUGCUACAUGGUGCAAAUCCACCGGAUAUGUUUGACCUGCUUGCUUAAGUGUGGAGAGGGUUCAACUCCAACU
ensembl:lncRNA